CAGAAAAUAGUUUAAUUUAGAAUACUAGCUUUGGGAGUUAGAGGUGGAAGUUCAAAUCUCUCUUUUCUGG
rnacentral:tRNA from 1 species